GUGCUUGCUUCGGCAGCACAUAUGCUAAAAUUGGAACGACACAGAGAAGAUUAGCAUAGCCCCUGCGCAAGGAUGACCCCCAAAUUAGUGAAGCGUUGCAUAUUUUA